AUGAGGGUUCGACUCCUUCCUUUCUUG
rnacentral:tRNA from 1 species